UACGUAGGGGGCAAGCGUUGUCCGGAUUUAUUGGGCGUAAAGAGCGUGUAGGCGGUUUGGUAGGUCCGUUGUGAAAACUCGAGGCUCAACCUCGAGACGCCGGCGGAAACCAUCAGGCUAGAGUCCGGAAGAGGAGAGUGGAAUUCCUGGUGUAGCGGUGAAAUGCGCAGAUAUCAGGAGGAACACCGAUGGCGAAGGCAGGUCUCUGGGCCACUACUGACGCUGAGAAGCGAAAGCAUGGGGAGCGAACAGG
rnacentral:rRNA from 1 species